CCAAUUCUUUCUCCUUGUACUUAACAUUUUUUUAGAUGAGUAAGGGGAAAAAGUAAUAGCGCCCUUGCAAAUUCUUUGACCCGCCUUUUCCCCCUUAGACUCGGAAUGCUUUUAAAAGCUCAAAGGUUAGCUAUUUUCUUUUAGUGAAAAAUUAGCUGGUUUGGUUUCCUGGCCUUUUGCUGUUGCAGUCAUCUGCCUUCUAAUGGAGCUGGGGCUUUCAUAGCUUUGCCAGUAAUAUAUACACCACACCAGCAGCUGAUUGGCCAUUUAACUCUCAUGCUAGCUUUUAAAGAAGCCCUUUGCCCAGCUCUUUGGUCCGUAGGUUUAAUUUUUCCUGUACGUGUGCUGCUUUCUUCUAAAUUGAGCCAUAUGGUUCACAAGGUUUCGUCCCCACACCCUGGCUGUAUUGGCUGCGAGGUCAGGACAGCGGGAGAGGACACACUGCCUUCUAAGAGAAGCAGGCCCAGAUGUGUCUCCGCAUCUAGUUAGCUCACCCUCUGUGCCUCACUGGUUUGCUUUUUGGUUAAAGUGAUUUUUAAAUUCUGAGUUCAUCUGUGGAAACAUACAUUUCAGAUGUAAAGUGACAUUGGAAGAAAAUCCAGGAUGAAAUAAUACUUUUUAAAACCUCAGUAUUUCUUUUGGCUUAUAUUCUAAUUUUGUGAUGAUGUUCAUGGUAGCUUUUGGUUUUAUAUAACUGCUUUGAAUUGUGCCAGUUUGCACAGUGCGUUUUCAGUUAAUUUUUUACCAGGGGUAAAAUUAAGCACUAUUUUUUUUUUCUGGCCUUUUGAGCUUACUUAGUUUUUAACUUAAAUCUGUACUUCCAUUUUUUUGUCUCUAUAUUUUUUAUAUUGAGAAUAUAUGUAUACUCUUUGGUUUCACAUUUUAGUCAGGAAGAGUUUAUUUUGUCAGAUACACUGUAGCAUGUCAUCACUUGCCAUAAACUCAACUUCCCAGUAAUUCCAACUGUCUAAACACAGACAAGAGCCAGACAUUGUAAAAUAAGGGAUGAGAUGAGCGGUGGCUUCUGAAUA